rnacentral:lncRNA from 1 species
CAGGAAAUGUAUACAAGCACUCCUUGGUCAUGUUCAGGUGCGGGAGCAGUAUGAUGAUGUGUUGAGCUCUGGCCAGCAGGCCUUCCUAUUGGAGGAGACAAAUCAGAGUCCAGACAUGUUCCAGACGUGUAGGUAGUCUGCCUCCAGCGGGGAAGGCCUCUGUCAGCCUGGACUAUGUGACGGACAAGUUGAAAGGUGUGUUAGUGCUGGGCUGGAACAAAAACAUCAUAAUCUGUGGGUCUCUUUCUCCUCCUUUCUUCUCUCCCUGUCUCUCUCCUUCUUCCUCCAUCCCUCACCCCAUCUCUCUCUAAGUGGUAGUGUAGCCAGAACAGUAGGUAAAGGCGGAUUAUCCACUCAUCAGGUAUCCCAUUAACCGGCCUCUUCUUACGAAUGACGGGGAUUUGGGCAUGGUCCGGGAAGAGCAGAAUGUCUUUUGCUACCGACUCAUUGAAAAAAAAUCCUUAACCAGAUCAAAAUCUCAGUGGACACAGAGAGCUUAGUGACCUGGCAAGCAGCCUGUUGAGAACGAGCUGAGCUUCAGUCUCAAGCCUGCAGAGGACACUGGGACCUGAGCCCUAGGACCAUGCCUCAGGACUACCUGGUAUGAUGACUCCUUGCUGUCCCCAGUCCACCUGGCCGUGCUGCUGCUCCAGUUUCAACUGUUCUGCCUGCGGCUAUGGAACCCUGACCUGUUCACCGGACGUGCUUGUUGCACCCUCGACAACUACUAUGAUUAUUAUUAUUUGACCAUGCUGGUCAUUUAUGAACAUUUUAACAUCUUGACCAUGUUCUGUUAUAAUAUCCACCCUGCACAGCCAGAAGAGGACUGGCCACCCCUCAUAGCCUGGUUCCUCUCUAGGUUUCUUCCUAGGUUUUUGGCCUUUCUAGGGAGUUUUUCCUAGGGAGUUUUUCCUAGCCACCGUGCUUCUUUCACAUGCAUUGCUUGCUGUUUGGGGUUUUAGGCUGGGUUUCUGUACAGCACUUUGAGAUAUCAGCUGAUGUACGAAGGGCUAUAUAAAUAAAUUUGAUUUGAUUUGAUUUGAUUCAAAAUGUACACUGAAGAUGGAUGUGGAGGACCAAGCUGAUAUGGCUGUGUGAUGCUCAGCGUCAAAGUUUAGCACAAAGAGUAAGACACGUGAAAGUAACAGUAAGCACUGUCUAAAUGUUUUUACAAAUAUUAUUAUUAUUGUUGGGAAGGGCCUGUAAGUAAGCAUUUCACUGUUAGUCUACAGCUGUUUAGGAAGCAUGUGUAAAUUAAAAUGUUAUUUGAAAUGAAGUCUGUUUGGUUUAGAAAGAAAUUCAAAUCAAAUCAAAUGUGUCAUAUACUCUGAAAACCGUGACAUGCUUACUUACAACAAAGAAAAUAGAGUUAGGAAAAUAUUUACUAAAUAAACAAAAGUUUUGAAAAAAGUUACAAUAACAAGGCUAUAUACAGGAAGUACCGGUACAGAGUCAAUGUGCGAGUACAGGUUAGUCGAGGUAAUUUGUACAUGUAGGUAGGGGUAAAGUGACUAUGCAUAGAUGAUAAACAGCGAGCAGCAGCAGUGUAAAAACAAAGGGGGGGUGUCAUUGGCAAAUAGUCCGGGUGGCCAUUUGAUUAAUUGUUCAGCAGUCUUACGGCUUGGGGGUAGAAGCUGUUAAGGAGCCUUUUGGACCUAGACUUGGUGCUCCGGUACUGCUUGCCAUGUGGCAGCAGAGAGAACAGUCUAUGUGUUGCCGCUUUGCUUGUUUGAUGGUUCGUCUGAGGGCAUAGCGGGAUUUCUUAUAAGCAUCCGGAAUAGUGCCCCACUCCUUGAAAGCGGCUGAUCUAGCCUUUAGCUCAGUGUGGAUGUUGACUGGCAGGUUACCAGGAGGAGAGAAUGCCAAGAGUGUGCAAAGCUGUCAUCAAGGCAAAGGGUGGCUACUUUGAAGAGUCUCAAAUAUAAAAUAUAUUUAGAUUUGUUUAACACUUUUUUGCUUACCACAUGAUUCCAUAUGUG